CCUACGGGGGGCAGCAGUGGGGAAUAUUGGACAAUGGGCGCAAGCCUGAUCCAGCCAUGCCGCGUGAAUGAUGAAGGCCUUAGGGUUGUAAAAUUCUUUCACCGGGGACGAUAAUGACGGUACCCGGAGAAGAAGCCCCGGCUAACUUCAUGCCAGCAGCCGCGGUAAUACGAAGGGGGCUCGCGUUGUUCGGAAUUACUGGGCGUAAAGCGCACGUAGGCGGGUCGAUUAGUUGGUGGUGAAAGCCCAGGGCUCAACCUUGGAACUGCCAUCAAUACUGUCGACCUGGAGCAUAGUAGAGGUUAGUGGAAUUCCAAGUGUAGAGGUGAAAUUCGUAGAUAUUUGGAGGAACACCAGUGGCGAAGGCGACUGACUGGGCUAUUGCUGACGCUGAGGUGCGAAAGCGUGGGGAGCAAACAGGAUUAGAUACCCUAGUAGUC
rnacentral:rRNA from 1 species